CAGUAGCCGCGGUAAUACGGAGGGGGCUAGCGUUGUUCGGAAUUACUGGGCGUAAAGCGUACGUAGGCGGCUUUGUAAGUUAGAGGUGAAAGCCUGGUGCUCAACACCAGAACUGCCUUUAAGACUGCAUCGCUUGAACGUCGGAGAGGUGAGUGGAAUUCCGAGUGUAGAGGUGAAAUUCGUAGAUAUUCGGAAGAACACCAGUGGCGUAGACGGCUCACUGGACGACUGUUGACGCUGAGGUACGAAAGCGUGGGGAGCAAACAGGAUUAGAUACCCCCGUAGUCCCUGUCUCUUAUAA
rnacentral:rRNA from 1 species